GCGGUUGUAGCCCAACUGGCAGAGGCACCUGGCUGAGGGCCAGGCCAGUCGGGGUUCGAAUCCCCGCAACCGCA
rnacentral:tRNA from 1 species